ACGUAGGGGGCGAGCGUUGUCCGGAAUUACUGGGCGUAAAGGGCACGCAGGCGGUACGCCAAGUCGGGGGUGUAAAGUUACGGCUCAACCGUGACCUUGCAAUCGAUACUGGCGUACUGGAGUGCGGGAGAGGGAAGUGGAAUUCCCGGUGUAGCGGUGAAAUGCGUAGAUAUCGGGAGGAACGCCAGUGGCGAAGGCGGCUUCCUGGCCCGCGACUGACGCUCAUGUGCGAAAGCCAGGGGAGCGAACCG
rnacentral:rRNA from 1 species